rnacentral:rRNA from 1 species
GUGGGGAAUAUUGGACAAUGGGCGAAAGCCUGAUCCAGCCAUGCCGCGUGUGUGAAGAAGGUCUUCGGAUUGUAAAGCACUUUAAGUUGGGAGGAAGGGCAGUAAGUUAAUACCUUGCUGUUUUGACGUUACCGACAGAAUAAGCACCGGCUAACUUCGUGCCAGCAGCCGCGGUAAUACGAAGGGUGCAAGCGUUAAUCGGAAUUACUGGGCGUAAAGCGCGCGUAGGUGGUUUUGUAAGUUGGAGGUGAAAUGCCCGGGCUCAACCUGGGAACUGCCUCCAAAACUGCAUGACUAGAGUACGGUAGAGGGUAGUGGAAUUUCCUGUGUAGCGGUGAAAUGCGUAGAUAUAGGAAGGAACACCAGUGGCGAAGGCGACUACCUGGACUGAUACUGACACUGAGGUGCGAAAGCGUGGGGAGCAAACAGGAUUAGAAACCCUUGUAGUCC